GAUGAACGCUGGCGGCGUGCCUAAUACAUGCAAGUCGGGCGAACAGAUGAGGAGCUUGCUCCUCUGACGUUAGCGGCGGACGGGUGAGUAACACGUGGAUAACCUACCUAUAAGACUGGGAUAACUUCGGGAAACCGGAGCUAAUACCGGAUAAUAUAUUGAACCGCAUGGUUCAAUAGUGAAAGACGGUUUUGCUGUCACUUAUAGAUGGAUCCGCGCCGCAUUAGCUAGUUGGUAAGGUAACGGCUUACCAAGGCAACGAUGCGUAGCCGACCUGAGAGGGUGAUCGGCCACACUGGAACUGAGACACGGUCCAGACUCCUACGGGAGGCGGCAGUAGGGAAUCUUCCGCAAUGGGCGAAAGCCUGACGGAGCAACGCCGCGUGAGUGAUGAAGGUCUUCGGAUCGUAAAACUCUGUUAUUAGGGAAGAACAAAUGUGUAAGUAACUAUGCACGUCUUGACGGUACCUAAUCAGAAAGCCACGGCUAACUACGUG
rnacentral:rRNA from 1 species